GCAGAAGAAGCACCGGCUAACUCCGUGCCAGCAGCCGCGGUAAUACGGAGGGUGCGAGCGUUAAUCGGAAUUACUGGGCGUAAAGCGCAUGCAGGCGGCCUGUUAAGUCAGAUGUGAAAGCCCGGGGCUUAACCUCGGAAUUGCAUUUGAAACUGGCAGGCUAGAGUCUUGUAGAGGGGGUAGAAUUUCAGGUGUAGCGGUGAAAUGCGUAGAGAUCUGAAGGAAUACCGGUGGCGGAAGGACGGCCCCCGUCGGACGAGAAUACUGACACUCAGAUGCGAAAGCGUGGGGAGCAAACAGGAUUAGAUACCCUGGUAG
rnacentral:rRNA from 1 species